rnacentral:lncRNA from 10 species
AGAAUUUUCAGCAUUAGCCAUCUCUUUGGCCGCCAGCUUAAUAAAGGACUCUUAAUUCGUCUCAAAGUGUGGCAUAUUUUUUAACUCGCUUGGAUACAACAUAAUGGAGGUCCCAGUGAGAAAUUAACUCCACUGGGUGAGAGCCGGUCUCACUCUGGGCUCCCCCGGAAGGACGGCUGGCUUGGAUGGGGGGCGCCACCUGAGGAAAUAAUUUUUAAGGUCCCAGAAGAGUAACUGCCUUCCGGAGGAGAGCGGAUCGACCACCGUGUCAUUGCCCUAAAAUUCAACAUCUGAGUCCUCAGCUUCUGACCCCGGUUGCAGCAUUCCUCACACAGGACACCACCUGCUGCGUCUGUCUCAUGGACUCUGGCUGAGCAAUGGAUGAAAGAAGUUUGCUGACACAGGUAUUUUGCCUGAGAGCUCCACAAAAGGACUGCAUGCUCAGCAUCACUGGCAAGCAUGCAGCAGCAGCAGCAGCAACAACAACAACAACGACUGCAGCAGCAGCAGGAGCCAAGAGUGCAGCCACCACAAAGAGAAUGCAGUAGCCACUGAUACAGUGUAGCAGCUGCCAAGAGUGCAUCAUAACAACAGCAAGAGUGCAGCCCCCAGAAGCCAGUGACACUUGCUUUAAGGAGUCAAGUUCUACUUGCAGAGCCAAUGAAAGUCCCUUGGAAGAACUGGGCUUAUACCUUGUCUUCACAGUCCUUGCACAGGGUUCCUGACUUCAGAGUAUCCCUGAGCCUCAUCUUCCACAGUCAUGUGAGAAGAACCCAAUUUUGCUGAAGUGAGGAGAAAGUUCUGCAAAAUGAGGAUUGUGAAUCCUCAAAAAAGAGGCCUGGAUGAAAGUAGUAAAAAGAACAACUGCAUCCUUCUAUAGCUGAUACCUUGUUGAGCUGUGAAGCACAUUGAGCAGAGUCUGAAAUCCUUCCUCACUUACAGGUUGCUGAGGUGACCUUCUCCAGAUUUUCAUUAGACCGUGACAUUCUGGAGCCCCAGUUCCACUAUUUUCCAAGGUGGGACAUGCUGAACCAGACCCUGAAAUUGUGGUUCAGUGUGACCAGGCUGAGACUGACCUUUAAAAGAAAGAACUGCAAAGUUGGUGUCUUAUUUUCCUUGUCAUUCCAGUGUAUCUUUUGGUAAAGAGACCAGAAAAGACUACUUUGGUAUGGAGACCAGAAAAGAGAGAGUAUGUGACAGCCCUCCUCAUAGAGUGGUACUAUUUAUUCAUGACUCCAAAGCGUCAAGAAAAGUUGAGAGAACUGUCUUCCUGGCACAGCCUGAGUAGGCUAGAGCACUGUGACCCUUAAUACUUAGUUCAUGUAUUCUUCACAGAAAUUAAAAAAAAUAGUAUAUGGGGGUAGAGAAAUGGUUGGUACAAAUAACAAGUUGCAGGUGAAAUAAUUGGAGACAGGAAGAGAAUGGAAUCUGCUUACACCAGUACACAUACUGCCUAGGUGCUGCUGAACAGUCAAGUCAGUUCUCUGAUUUGAGCCUUGUGUCUUGGAAUUAACAGGCCCACUUCUGCUCUGGCCUGAGUGCUAAACUUUUUUGUUCUAGAAUCAAAUGUGAAUUCUGGACUCUGGAAUUCCAGUUGCGUUUCACAGGCCAGUGGAUUAAGGAGGCCCAAAUCAGCCCACAAAAGGGGUUGUGGAUGGCUCUACCACAAAUGACUGGUUGCUUUUGUGCCUACACUCAUGAAGAAGAGGCAUCAUCUUCCUCAAGGCAAGCCCAGAGAGAUCUGAAGCGUACAGGUGCCAGUGAAGGAAAAAGGUAAUGCCUCAGGCCAUUGCUUUUGCCCCUCCUGUGUUGUGUCUUUGGAGGCUCUAUUUGCUCAUCCAAAAAUGGGCAAUGAAAGCCCCUCGGUGACUGGCUGCUCACCCCACAUUUACCAGGCCACUGCAGAGUGCCCACCCUGCAGCUCUAGGUACAUCCUCUGCUUCAAAAAGCUGGGGAAACUCUGGGCUGAGUUAAUAGCCCUGAGAGGGUUCUCCCACUCUGGGAGCACUCCUGCCCGCCCCUUUAUAUCCACGUGACAGCUGAGCAUGUCUGCUAUAUGCCAACCUUAUUGUCUGCUUUUGCCAAGCCCAGGGCUUCACUGAUUGGCUAGGGGAACGUGCUCACAGAAGCCCAGGUGAACUAUCUAUACUUUCUCCAAUGCACAACCUCAUGCAGGUGCCACCCAGGUUUUCUUUUAAAUUGUAAUCUUAGGGGGUUAGAAGGCACUAAAUUAUUCACUAAUAAGUCUUCUCUAACUUCUUGACUAAUAAAUCAAUAAGUCAAUGGGAAAAGAUGGGUGUGGGCCUUGAUAUUCUUAAUCUCCUUCCUCUAGUGGGACUGAAUUGGGGUUGUCAUCCUGAUUUCUUUUUCAAAAAAGCUAGCAAGUGAGGCGGGACUCAAGGUCCAGGAACAGUACCAAACUCCUAGGCUGGAGUCGCGCAGGGCCUUCUGAGGUCCCUGCAGAUAGGAGGCCUUAGUGGAGGUCCAGCUCCCUUUUCUAGGAUGAUAACUAUGGACCCUUCCUGAAACACCAAGGAGGGCCUACUCUUUCUGCAAAUUGCAAUCUCUGGUUUCUGAGGGGUGAGACUGUGUGUAUGUGUGUAUGUGUGUGUAUGUGUGUGUAUGUGUGUGUGUGAGUGUGUGUGGACAUGGCCUUCUGCUUCAUUUCCAGGGGUUGUUUCCCUAGAAGAAAUUCCUAGGGAAUCUUGAGACUGUG